GAUGAACGCUGGCGGCGUGCCUAAUACAUGCAAGUCGAGCGAAUGGAUUGAGAGCUUGCUCUUAUGAAGUUAGCGGCGGACGGGUGAGUAACACGUGGGUAACCUGCCCAUAAGGCUGGGAUAACUACGGGAAACCGGGGCUAAUACCGGAUAACAUUUUGAACCGCAUGGUUCGAAAUUGAAAGGCGGCUUCGGCUGUCACUUAUGGAUGGACCCGCGUCGCAUUAGCUAGUUGGUGAGGUAACGGCUCACCAAGGCAAAGAUGCGUAGCCGAACUGAGAGGGGGAUAGGCCACACUGGGACUGAGACAAGGCCCAGACUCCUACGGGAGGCAGCAGUAGGGAAUCUUCCGCAAAGGACGAAAGUCUGACGGAGCAACGCCGCGUGAGUGAUGAAGGCUUUCGGGUCGUAAAACUCUGUUGUUAGGGAAGAACAAGUGCUAGUUGAAUAAGCUGGCACCUUGACGGUACCUAACCAGAAAGCCACGGCUAACUACGUGCCAGCAGCCGCAGUAA
rnacentral:rRNA from 1 species